CUACGGGCUGCUGCAGUGAGGAAUAUUGCACAAUGGGGGGAACCCUGAUGCAGCAACGCCGCGUGGAGGAUGACGCAUUUCGGUGUGUAAACUCCUUUUAUAUGUCAAGAAAAUGACGGUAGCAUAUGAAUAAGCACCGGCUAACUCCGUGCCAGCGGCCGCGGUAAUACGGAGGGUGCAAGCGUUACUCGGAAUCACUGGGCGUAAAGGACGCGUAGGCGGGUUGGAAAGUCAGGUGUGAAAUCCUACAGCUUAACUGUAGAACUGCACUUGAAACUUCUAAUCUAGAGUAUGGGAGGGGGAGAUGGAAUUAGGGGUGUAGGGGUAAAAUCCGUAGAUAUCACUAGGAAUACCUAAAGCGAAGGCGAUCUCCUGGAACAUUACUGACGCUAAGGCGUGAAAGCGUGGGGAGCAAACAGGAUUAGAUACCCGUGUAGUC
rnacentral:rRNA from 1 species